rnacentral:rRNA from 1 species
GACGAACGCUGGCGGCGUGCUUAACACAUGCAAGUCGAACGGAAAGGCCCUGCUUUUGUGGGGUGCUCGAGUGGCGAACGGGUGAGUAACACGUGAGUAACCUGCCCUUGACUUUGGGAUAACUUCAGGAAACUGGGGCUAAUACCGGAUAGGAGCUCCUGCUGCAUGGUGGGGGUUGGAAAGUUUCGGCGGUUGGGGAUGGACUCGCGGCUUAUCAGCUUGUUGGUGGGGUAGUGGCUUACCAAGGCUUUGACGGGUAGCCGGCCUGGGAGGGUGACCGGCCCCAUUGGGACUGAGAUACGGCCCAGACUCCUACGUGAGGCAGCAGUGGGGAAUAUUGCACAAUGGGCGGAAGCCUGAUGCAGCAACGCCGCGUGCGGGAUGACGGCCUUCGGGUUGUAAACCGCUUUCGCCUGUGACGAAGCGUGAGUGACGGUAAUGUGUAAAGAAGCACCGGCUAACUACGUG